rnacentral:misc_RNA from 1 species
GUGAAUCAUCAAAUUUUUGAACGCAAAUUGCGCUCUCUGGUAUUCCGGAGAGUAUGCCUGUUUGAGGGUCAGUUAAAAUAAAAAUCGGUUUAUUGGGUUUGUUUCGUGGUGACGCGAGGUAUUUGAGUCGUAUUGCCUUCGGUUGAGUGGCCUAGAAUUUUUCAUGAAUUUUUUCUAGCGUAUUUGAAUGAUUGUGCGUACGUUUGCGAUAGUGAGUACUAGUGGUGUUCAUGGUCA